CCCUUAGAUGUUCUGGGCCGCACGCGCGCUACACUGACUACUUCAACGUGUUGUUUCCUUGAUCGAAAGGUCUGGGUAAUCUUUGAAAGGUAGUCGUGAUGGGGAUAGAUCCUUGCAAUUUUUGAUCUUCAACGAGGAAUUCCUAGUAAACGCAAGUCAUCAGCUUGCAUUGAUUACGUCCCUGCCCUUUGUACACACCGCCCGUCGCACCUACCGAUUGAAUGGUCCGGUGAAUCUUUAGGACUGUGGCUGAGGCCUUGCCUUGUGCGGGUCUGGCCGUGGGAAUUUAGUUAAACCUUACCAUUUAGAGGAAGGUGAAGUCGUAACA
rnacentral:rRNA from 1 species